UCAUGAAUAUAAAUAUAUAGCUAGAGUAGUACGAACAUUUUUGUUUAAAAUCCAAAAAGCUUGGCAGUGAUGGCAACGAUAUUAGGGGAGCUUGUUUCGUAAUCGAUAAUCCACGAGAAACCUGACCAUACUUAGAAGUUAGUAUACCGUCGUCGUCAGUCAACCUUUAAGAAAAAAGAUGUAGACAGGACAUUGAAUAGAUACUAUGUCAGAUCAAGGUGCUGCUAAUAGUGUGGGGAGAAUGAGCUACAAUUAUUAACUUAUAUCACGGAUGUAUAAUAUUGAAAUUAUAUUACUGAAGGAGGACUUAAAAGUAAGGGGGUAAAUAUAAACUCCUUGAAUUGAGUUAGCUAUCGUGUACAUAUCGCCCGUCGCUCUCGUUGAAAAGUGAGAUAAGUCGUAACAUAGUAGGGAUACCGGAAGGUGUUCCU
rnacentral:rRNA from 1 species